UACGGGGGGGGCAAGCGUUGUUCGGAAUUACUGGGCGUAAAGCGCACGUAGGCGGGUCCUUAAGUCAGGGGUGAAAUCCCGGAGCUCAACUCCGGAACUGCCUUUGAUACUGGGGAUCUUGAGUCCGGAAGAGGUGAGUGGAACUCCGAGUGUAGAGGUGAAAUUCGUAGAUAUUCGGAAGAACACCAGUGGCGAAGGCGGCUCACUGGUCCGGUACUGACGCUGAGGUGCGAAAGCGUGGGGAGCAAACAGG
rnacentral:rRNA from 1 species